AAUCACUUCAUAAAUAAUAGUAUAGAUAUAACAAAAUAUAAUAUGAUUUUAAAAAUCUAUGGGAAAAUUAAAUCAAUGCCGAAAAUAUUUACUGUCGCUAUAAGGUGAUGUUAUUUGGAACUUAAAUAAUCAUCCAUAAGCUUUUUUCUCUGUUUAGAGAGUUAUUUUUUUUUGUAAACUUGUUUAGAGAGUAUUUCCACUCUCUAUGCAGUAUUUUAGUGAAUAUUUUCUCGAAUGCUAACCAUUAGCUCAUGGAGAAAUUGGGGAGAUGGUAUGAUGCAAGAAAUGGAGUGCUCUACACAGGUUCUUUGCAACUUAUAAUGCAGCCUUGGAGUUUCUCUUUGUAUAUUUUCACCCAAUUGAUUUAGAUUUCCUUUUUUGGUUCUUAUAUUAAAAGGUCCAGGAGUAGUAGCGUCGAGAAUUUGCAUGGACAAAGCCAUCUCAGGCGCUUAGUCAUAUGCUAAAUGCUAACCAGCUGAUAUACUAUUUUUAUAUUGAAAAAUGUGAAUAAUACUGGAACAAAUUACUUUUUUUUUUGUAUGUGUGUGUCAUGUGUAACCAAUAGCUUUCAGAAUUUGGAGUUCGUAUCAUAAGCAAUGAAGUGAAGAUAAUAGAAGAUCCAUAAGACCAUCCCAGACAUUUGGGAUGAAUUGAUCACCAAGUUAAGUGUCCAACACUGUGUGUUAAACCAGCAAGAGAUGGUUGCUCCACUGGUGUUGCAUGAUUAUGAUAAAACUCUUAUUCAAAUGUUUUUUUUUUAAUUUUUGUUUCUUUAAACCUUGAGGCCUCUCCUGUAGUUCAUACGUUCGGGUUACCUAAAUAGUUAGUAAACUAAACUAACCUGAAUUCACUUGGAUUUUACCUUUAAUUCUCACAUAACUUUUGGACCCAUUUGUAAGGCUCAUUAAGACUGUCCAAUUGACAAGCAACCACAAAGUUUUGUAACCACAAAAUCGUGUGUUACAUAAAAUGCUCAGGCAAUCCCAAAAGCCUUAGAACAUCAAAGUCACACUAACACAAAAACUUAAUCGGCAUCUACGUCUAUAGUAUAAUUUAGUUAAACUUCACAAAAACAAUACAUAUUCUUUGCCAUAAUGCGGUGAAGAAAAUUCCUAUACAAAGAGCAGGAGAAACACUUAAAAACUCAAAAGUACCGUAAACGUAGAGGAACUCAGCAGGUGCUCAUAAACUCACCAUGUUUAACACCAGAAAGAAAAAAACAGGUCGAGAAGGUAGCCUUGAUUUACAUCAUUUCCAUUCAACAGUACUGGAAUCAGUUCUCAUCUCUUUAGUUCACCCUAUACUUUCCAGUUUGACAUUAGGAAACUACAGACUAACAAAUCCAAAUUUACAGCUGAAACAUUUAAUCACACUGUCAACUCUCUUAAGAGAUUGUCUACCAAGGAUUCCCAAAAACUUUUUCUGCAAAUCCUGUGGAGUACCAUAAAUAUAAAAAAAAAACUUGAUUAGCUGAACCAAAGGGCUUUGUCUUCCAAGAUAAUUUGAAAACAAUUUUCUCUUCUCUCUCAUCAAACGCAGAGCCAGACCAUUCCGCAUCGACACACGGUGUGUCACACACCUUUUGCCACGGAACUCGGUUUAGACAAUAGAAUCUUUAACAGACUCAUACCAGGAGCUCUUACCACUGCAAAAUGAAAGAAUCAAGACAACACAGUUCAAGUCUCGUCUCUGACGAAAAUUUAUGUAAUUAUUAACAAAAUAUAUUUAUACCCAAAAAUGAAUCUUUUGGCUCCCAAAUCCCAAUCUUUCAUGAUGGAGUGGUAAGAGAAAGAGGAAUUAGGGAGAUGGCUGAGUGUAAAACACACAGAAACAAACCAUUCUUUGUUGUCUGACUGUGGUUGUAUGAUUAAGGAGGACGUCGAUGUGACUGGUGCCGGAAAAUAAACCGUAAACGUAGAUCCACCGUACUGCUCUGUUUUCUGUCUCUUAAAAUUGUGCUUAUAUAUAUUAUUUGACUGUCAAAGGUAUAAUUAAGUAUUCCGUUAAUCCAUCAAACAACUAAUUUUUUCGAGAUGUUCGAACUCUCACACUGGCGGACAAGUAAGAGCAUAUUAUAUGCUAGACCAAAAUAACUUUCUUGUAUAGAUUGUGUAAACAUUAACUUAUAUAUAAGUUUUAGUUUAAUCAAAUAAACGUUAUCUAAAUUUUAUUGUUUUAGUUUUAUCAAAUAAACCUAUAAUUAUUUAUGUUUUCAAAUUUAACUUUAGAAAUCAUUACUUUUUUAAGUUUAAAUUAUUUAUUAUUAAUUCAAAUAUUUAUAUUAUACUUAUUCACCAGUGUGAGAGUUCGAAUUUCCCAAAAAGUAAUUUUUAGUUUUACAGAAAUUAUCUAAAAUGACGGGUUUUGAUAAAUUAACAGAUGACUAACAGCUUUCACAGUUAAUAUAUAUAAGCAUGAUUUUGAGAAUUUACGUAAUAUUUUCAAAAUUUCUAAUUUUACAGAAUCCAUCCAAAAUGACGCCGUUUUGAUAAAUUAACGGAUGGUGGCUAAUGCUUUUGACGGAUAAGCACGAUUAUGAGAAUUCAUAUUAUAUUAUUAUUUUUAUUUUUUUGCUUAGUUCAAUAUGGAAUAUGCAUUACUAUAAAGUUUGUGAAUGAAAAAAGCACGACGCGUAAAGUUUAUGUAGUAUUUUUAAAAUUUUGGGUUUAGUUCAAUAUAACAUACACACUCUUACAAAGUUCUAAAAGGAAUAAGCACAACGCUUAAAUUUCAGGUUGAGAUAUACCUUUUUUUGGUGAUGAGGUUGAAAUAUACCAUUUUACCUUAUGUUACGUGAAUGUUUUUGGGUGAGCGGUAAUGUAAUUUCAGAUAAGAGUCAAAUCGCAAUUUAUUAAGAGGUUAAACUUCUUACAAUUGGGCUUUGAGGCCCAUUAGGAUACAAUAAAUUAUCCGGAUAUGAUUCUUACGUUACGCGUCGCUAUCCAAAUGGGCCUUAUUGACGUAGUUUCUUGAAUGAGUUUAUUUCAGUGUGAAUUUGUAGUUGCGAAGACCCAAUUACACUUUUGAUAUAUAUAUAUUUGGGGUGAAUUUUGAAAUCUAGAUAUAGUAAAAAUUAAUUCGUAGUUUAAGGCACCAAGUUACCGUUAGAGUCAACAAAAAAGAGAAAAAUAAUAGAAUUUAAUUCAUGUUACCGUUAGAGCAAAUUAAAAAAAGAAAAAAAAAAGAGAAAAUAAUAGAAUUUAAUUCAUGACCGUUGGAGACAAAAAGAUCAAAUCUCCAGCCUCGCCUAUAAAUAAAGACCUCCUCUCGUACAGAACCUUACACUUGUCUUCUUCCUCUCUUACAGAACCUUAUGUUUUUUCUUUCUUAAAUAUAUUAUAUUAAUUCUUACCUAAAUUAGGGGAUUCGGAAAACAGAGAUCAACAACGAAACUAAUCUAAGCUAGCCAAGAAGAAAAGGUUGAGGGUGAUACGACUAGGGGAACGAAGCCCCUCCUCCGGUGAACACCGACAGCGUCGUAGUCGGACUCCGGGACUUCACAGGCGGAGGUGUCCAAGCCCAGCACAGAUCCGUCACCGUUAUCUUCAGUCCGCCAUCCACGGAGGUGUCCCGCGGCGGCCCCAAAACGUCGGACGCAAAACGAUGAAGAAGGUGUCCUUCCCGUCCAUCAUCACGGUUUGAGAGGAGGGCGGCUCAGAUGAAGAAGAAACAAUGGAAACCAUACAAACUCUCCGCCGUCGCCAACCCACCGCGAAUCUUCCCGUCCAGCAUCACGCUUGCUCUGAUCGUUCUUCACGCGGUUUAUCAGGUCUUCUCUUUUCUUAUUAUACAAACUUUGUUUUUCUUUCUGCCAACCAUGUUUCUCUGUUUUGAAUUGAAAUAUUUUUUUUUUAAAAAAACAUGUUUUUAGGGAAAUUUUGUAUAACUUGAUUGAUCAAUGGAGAGUUAAGUGUGAAUUUGUGACAACAUUUGAACACCCAGUCUUUGUAUCGUUAGAUGUUGUAAAUGUUUAUUUGGUUUAACACUUAUGAUCACUAAAUUCUUCUAAUCAAUCUAGAAACUAUAAAAUUUUCUUUUUUAAAAAUAAGUUUUCAAGGUUUUGGGGAAAUUUUUUAUAGAGCUUGAUUGAUCAUGGAAAGUUAGUGUAAAUUUGUGAAAUAAAUAGAGUGGGCUAUAUAUGAUGGUUAGAGGUAUUAUCCUUUCUCCAGUCAUUGUGAUCGUAAGCUGGUAGUAUCCCUUUAUUUGGUUUAACACUUAUGAUCACUAAUUUUUUCAUAAUUGAUUAAAGUUAUUAUAAAAAGUUUCCCUUGUUUUCAGUUCUUUCUUUGAUUUCUUUCUUUUAUAUUUUGUUGCCUUUUGUUUGUUCCAUAUGAUCGACUUGUCGUUUUGUUGUUUCAGGAUUCCGGUGGAUGCUUGCUUUGAUUGAUGAUGGCUGUUUUUGGUGUUUGGUCCUUCUCUGUUGGCGCUUUGUCAGCUUAGCCUGAUGGACGUAGAAGAAGAAGCUGUAAUUGGAACUUGAAUAAAGGUAUACGAGGAGAGGUAUAUUGAAGAUCAGUACGAAGUGUUGAAAGCUUCUGGUGGCGAGCGAAGGUUUCAAGCUGAGUUGGAUUAGCUUGGCACAGGAGUUGUUUGUUAUUAUCCUCAUCUUCUUGAGCGAUUGGGAAACAGAGAGAUUGAGAGAUUAGAGAGUAUAGAGGAACCGAUUGAGUUGUAAUUUGUGUCUUGUACUUGUAAAGUUGUAACCGUACAAAAGUUAUUAGUUUUAUCGAAAACAGAUAGAGAUAUA